GAUGAACGCUGGCGGCGUGCCUAAUACAUGCAAGUCGAACGCUUCACUUCGGUGAAGAGUGGCGAAUGGGUGAGUAAUACAUAAGUAACCUGGCAUCUACAGGGGGAUAACUGAUGGAAACGUCAGCUAAGAUCGCAUAGGUGUAGAGAUCGCAUGAACUCUAUAUGAAAAGUGCUACGGGACUGGUAGAUGAUGGACUUAUGGCGCAUUAGCUGGUUGGUAGGGUAACGGCCUACCAAGGCGACGAUGCGUAGCCGACCUGAGAGGGUAACCGGCCACACUGGGACUGAGACACGGCCCAGACUCCUACGGGAGGCAGCAGUAGGGAAUUUUCGGCAAUGGGGGAAACCCUGACCGAGCAACGCCGCGUGAAGGAAGAAGUAAUUCGUUAUGUAAACUUCUGUCAUAGAGGAAGAACGGUGGAUAUAGGGAAUGAUAUCCAAGUGACGGUACUCUAUAAGAAAGCCACGGCUAACUACGUGCCAGCAGCCGCGGUAA
rnacentral:rRNA from 1 species